CAGGACCAAGGAUUGGAAGUGACAUCAGAAGGUUUGGAUACGUUGAAAAACAUGGCCCAUGAUUUGAAUAAGGAAAUGGAUAGGCAAGUUCCUUUAAUAGACGAGAUUGAUACUAAGGUCGACAAGGCAGCAUCUGACCUUAAGAACACCAUUGUGAGACUUAAAGAUACUGUUAACCAGUGUAUUGAAGAAUUAAGAUGAUUGAUGGGCUACUGUUUCUGCUUGUGAUUUUGGCUUUGUCUGGUAUUGAUUUGCGAUGAUUGAGGCCUUGUUAUGUGCUUAUUUUGGAGAUGAUUUGUUUUCCCGAUGUGUGUAUGUCUUUGCUAAUAGUUUUGACUACUAUUUCUGUACCUUUGUCUUUCAAAUACAACUUUCGGUACAUUAGACAUUUCUGGAUUAAUAAUGUAUAUUUGUUCCAGCUUUCAUUUUGUCUCUUUAAUUUAAGAUAUUAUAUUUCUAUUCUAUGCAUAUGAUUAAUGUUGUGACUCCUGUAAACACCACUUAUGGUAUUUGUGCAACCUAUAAGGGAAGAACCAAAAUUGGAUGAAUUUG